rnacentral:sRNA from 1 species
GCCGGGUGCAGUGGCGCACACCUAUAAUCCCAGCUGCUCAGGAGGCUGAAGCAGGAGGAUUGCGAGUUCAAAGCCAGCCUCAGCAACUUAGAGAGGCCCUAAGCAACUCAGUGAGAACCUGUCUCUA